CACGUAGGGUGCGAGCGUUGUCCGGAAUUAUUGGGCGUAAAGAGCUCGUAGGCGGUGUGUCGCGUCGGCCGUGAAAACCUGCAGCUUAACUGUGGGCGUGCGGUCGAUACGGGCAUCACUGGAGUUCGGCAGGGGAGACUGGAAUUCCUGGUGUAGCGGUGAAAUGCGUAGAUAUCAAGAGGAACACCUGCGGCGAAGGCGGGUCUCUGGGCCGAUAUUGACGCUGAGGAGCGAAAGCGUGGGGAGCAAACAGG
rnacentral:rRNA from 1 species